GAGCCAUGUUAAUUAUGCCUCAAAAUAAAACCCAAGCCAACAACUCAGCUUCUCACUAGCCACAGGGCUGGCGGCUGCCAUGGGCUCAGCACGGAUCCCAGACCACUUGCAUCACUGCAGAAAGUUCUACUGGGCAGCACUGGCUGAGCCAUCACUUCUGCCACAGAGCCAAGAACUUGACACAGUCACCCUCAGAAAAGCAAAGUCAGGCAGACUUGACUCCACCUCCUCCCGGGCCGGGGCUUCCUAUUUCUAGGAGCGACAGCAGUUCUCUGCUGCUGGAGAUGGACAGCCUCAAGGUGCCAGUCCAGGAAACAGUCUUUUAUGCAACAUAUUUCCAUGACAAAAGGAAGCAGUCAUGUGGCUGGUGUCAUCCAGACCAUGGGUUCAGGGGUCUUUUUAUAUUUUUUAAAGAGUAAAUGAGAGGCAAUAACUCCUGCUUUCCCUUCCAUUCAGUUCCUUCAGGGUCCUUGAGCUCCAAGGCAGGUAUGGGAACCAUGCUGUUCUCCCUGCGUCCAGCCCUCUGCCCAGCUCCCAGGAUGGGAAGGGAAGAAAAGACAAUGUCACCUUGUCCCUUAGGAAACACUUGUUCAAAGUUAUGUGUCCACAGCAGGGCAGACUGGAGUGCACGCUGGCCAGGAGAUCUUCCUGACCCAGGGAUCGAACCUGUAUCUCCUGUGGCUCCAGCAUUGGCAGGCGGAUUUUUUACCACUGAGCCACAUGGGACGCCCCCUAUGAAUAAUUGCUCGAUAUUUAUUUGAAGGCAAUGUUUCCAUGGCCCAAACAGAAAAACCAAAACCCCUACAGUUGAGCAGACAAUCCUCUUCAGAAAGCAGACUGUUAAUUGUAUGUGAAAUUUUUUACCACUGUUUUUUCCCCCAAAUUUAUCUAUGUCAAAGAAACCGUAAUAAUGUGCCAUGUUGACAAUACUACUUGAAUUUGGGGGCAACAUAAGAGA
ensembl:lncRNA